rnacentral:rRNA from 1 species
GACGGACCACACAAACGUUAUUCGGAAUUACUGGGCUUAAAGGGCUCGUAGGUGGCCAACUAAGUCGGACGUGAAAUCCCUCGGCUUAACCGGGGAACUGCGUCCGAUACUGGUUGGCUUGAGUUUGGGAGAGGGAUGCGGAAUUCCAGGUGUAGCGGUGAAAUGCGUAGAUAUCUGGAGGAACACCGGUGGCGAAGGCGGCAUUCUGGACCGAAACCGACGCUGAGGCGCGAAAGCCAGGGGAGCAAACGGG